UCAGAUCUCUAGUUCUACUAGUGUGUUUUGAGCCCGUUAAAUGUUGAGUACUCACGGAUCAAAUGCACAUGCCUAAGAUGAGGAACUUCAAAAUCCCACUCAGCUCAUUUGUUUUUUUUUCUUAAAAUACUACAGUAUUUCUUUCCUUGCUUCUGCAGCAAAUUUCUAUACUCUGAUCGUUGAAGUUUUCUUCCAGAAUCUCUGGACUACAUAAACCAAGUAUAUCUGUCCUACUUAAAAGUUAAGACUGUUGAGAAGUUGUGGUUAGUACUUGUCUUUUGCAUUAGUGGCUGUUCAAGUAUGUUCAAGCAGAAACACAUACAAGCUACAGACUGAUAUGCUGUGUCUUCUUUACUAGAACUCAGCAUUGAUUAUACUAAACUUUUCAAUCAUGAACCAAUGGCCAAGUAUAAAAGCUUGCUGCCUGCUAGAAGUCCAAGGAACCCCAAAAUAUUUUUCCACAGCCUGCCUAGUAGAUAUUCUGACUUGAUUUACCAGGCAAAGCAGUCUCUUCUUUACCUGAGUCGAUCAUGUCAAGAAAAGGGGCUCUCUUUCACAAGACUGGAUGAAGUAUUAAAGGUAGUUCAGAGAAAAUUGAUCUAGGGUUAUUCGUCUGGCCUCGUCAUUAUUGAGCUCCUACCUGAUUAAAAGAACAUCUGCAAACCUAAUGUUAGUGAUAUUCAAGGUUUGGGAUUUGGGACCUUAGAAGAAGAACCAUGAGAACUACUAUCUGAUUGUCUUCCAAUGAAAAAGAGUCUCCAUGAACAGAAAUACUAUUAAGCAGAGCAAAUCAAGAAAUUGUCACAUGAUACAUACACAAAAGGCCUAACUAUUUUACAGGUCUUGACGUACUUCUUGUUGAUUAUCUACUUUCGGCGUAUUCCUGUGGCUUCCAUAUCUAAGCAGCUCGUACAGCCUUUUGGCAAGAUGUUGUCCUGGCGAGCUGGAGGUCCUGCCAAUGAAAAUGUUAUAGUAAUGAUUAGUCUCAAUUGUUUCUCUAUUGUCAUUUAUUCUUUUAGAGGAAAUAGUGACUGAAAAUAGAGCAGUCAUAUGAGCGUAGUCUUGGGUUUGAAUCUCUGAAGGUAGAGCCAGUACGUGUGCAACAUAUCAUAUAAAAGCAGCUGCUGCUUAAGUUGCUCGUCUUUUGGUUGAAUGGCAUUUUAUUAGCUUGUUUAAUGAACUUACAGGUAGGAAUUAUUCCGUGGUUGAUACUGUCUACUCAAGUAGGAGGAGAAAGUAGAACUGACAUCAGGAUACACAGACCAAUUUUUUUUUUUUUUUUUUCCUUUUGAUAUCUAUUUUAUGUUGUAACUGAUUCAUUGGGAUUUGUAAAUUGAAUGUGCUUACACCUCUGUAAGGAGUACCCUUUUCUUUUUCCACAAGUAGGAACAAAUGUGAUGAGUUAGACGUCAGUUUUUAAAGUUC